GAUGAACGCUGGCGGCGUGCUUAACACAUGCAAGUCGAACGAUGAAGGGAGCUUGCUCCUGGAUUAGUGGCGAACGGGUGAGUAACACGUGAGUAACCUGCCCUUGACUCUGGGAUAAGCCUGGGAAACUGGGUCUAAUACCGGAUAUGACUGACCGUCGCAUGGUGGUUGGUGGAAAGCUUUCGUGGUUUUGGAUGGACUCGCGGCCUAUCAGCUUGUUGGUGGGGUAAUGGCCUACCAAGGCGACGACGGGUAGCCGGCCUGAGGGGGUGACCGGCCACACUGGGACUGGGCCACGGCCCCGACUCCUACGGGAGGCAGCAGUGGGGAAUAUUGCACAAUGGGCGCAAGCCUGAUGCAGCAACGCCGCGUGCGGGAUGACGGCCUUCGGGUUGCAAACCGCUUUUAGUAGGGAAGAAGCCUUCGGGUGACGGUACCUGCAGAAAAAGGACCGGCUAACUACGUGCCAGCCGCCGCGGUAA
rnacentral:rRNA from 1 species